AUUCCAGCUCCAAAAGCGUAUAUUAAAGUUGUUGCAGUUAAAAAGCUCGUAGUUGAACCUUGGGCUUGGUUAGCCGGUCCACCUUUUUGGUGUGUACUGGACCUAACCGAGCCUUUCCUUCUGGCUAACCUUCAUCCUUCUGGGUGUUGGCGAACCAGGACUUUUACUUUGAAAAAAUUAGAGUGUUCAAAGCAGGCCUUUGCUCGAAUAUAUUAGCAUGGAAUAAUAGAAUAGGACGUUAUGGUUCUAUUUUGUUGGUUUCUAGGACCAUCGUAAUGAUUAAUAGGGACGGUCGGGGGUAUCAGUAUUCAGUUGUCAGAGGUGAAAUUCUUGGAUUUACUGAAGACUAACUACUGCGAAAGCAUUUACCAAGGACGUUUUCAUUA
rnacentral:rRNA from 1 species